rnacentral:rRNA from 1 species
UCGAAACCUGCAAAGCAGAAACCCGCGAACUUGUCUAUACAUCUGGGAACGUGUGGGUUAUAGGCCUAGUUGUCUUACCUUCCACUUUCCCCUCGCGAGUAUAUGUGCACGGGCCCUUUGGGCACGUGUUCCAUUUACUUGUCGAACAACGAACCCCGGCGCAAAUCGCGCCAAGGACGCUUGAACAAGUUUGUGCACGCCCCCUGCCCAUUUUUGGGUGGUGCUGGCGUACACUUCUUUCGAAAAACAAAACGACUCUCGGCAACGGAUAUCUCGGCUCUUGCAUCGAUGAAGAACGUAGCGAAAUGCGAUACUUGGUGUGAAUUGCAGAAUCCCGUGAACCAUCGAGUCUUUGAACGCAAGUUGCGCCUGAAGCCAUUAGGCUGAAGGCACGUCUGCCUGGGCGUCACGCAUCGCGUCACCCACUCACCCCAUGCCUCUGUGGCCAGGUUAAGUGCUUGGGUGGAUAUUGGCCCCCCGUACACACUUGUGCUCGGUCGGCCUAAAAGAAGGGUCCCCAAUGACGGACAUCACGACAAGUGGUGGUUGUCAAACCGUCGCGACACGCCGUGCAUGCCAUUCUUCGCUGGGGACUGCCUCGUUGACCCUUAAGUGCCAAUAACAACGGUACAUUAACUGCGA